UCGCCUGUGGAGCUGGAAAAGUGCCGACCAGCACGUUCUCUCGCACGACUGAAAACGCUCUCCCGGUGUCUCACAUCUCUCAGCCCAUUCUUCUCCGAAGCCAGAGGACCUGGCUCCUUUCCACUGGGCGGGUUUCCUGUUCGCAGCCCUGACAAAAGUGCCCAGAGUUCUCCAGCCUCUCUCCUUCCACUGGGUUGGAGUUGACUUGGAACCUGAGGGCCUAAGUGCCCGGCACUGCGAGGGUAUGGCAGGGACUCCAUUCUUGAUCUUGGCCUUGAGGUUCUCACAGUCUGAGCUUGUGAGUAUCAAGAACAGCUCUGGGCUGGGCACAGUGGCUCACACCUGUAAUUCCAGCACUUUGGGAGGCUGAGGUGGGAGAAUCACCUGAGGUCAGGAGUUUGAGACUAGCCUGGCCGAUAUGGCGAAACCCCAUCUCUAUUAAAAAAUACAAAAUAUAGCCAGGUGUGGUAGCAGGCACCUGUAGUCUCAGCUACUCGGGAGGCUGAGGCAGAAGAAUCACUUGAACCCGGGAGGCGGAGAUUGCAGUGAGCCGAGAUUGCGCCACUGCAAUUCGGUCUAGGCAACAAAGCGAGACUCCAUCUCAGGAAAAAAAGAAAAAAAAAAAAAAAAAAAAAGAAAGGAAGCCAGGCAUGGUGGCUCACAUCUGUAAUCCCAACAUUUUGGGAGGCUGAGGCAGGAGGAUCAAUUGAGGCUAGGAGUUUGAGACCAUCCUGGGCAACAUAGUGAGACCCCAUCUCUACAAAAGAUUUAAAAAAAUUAGCUGGGUGUGGUGGCACAUGCCUCUAGUCACAGCUACUCAGGAGGCUGAGAUGGGAGAAUCGCUUGAGUCUGGGAGGUCAAGGCUGCAGUGAGCUGAGAUCACGCCACUGCACUCCAGCCUGGAUUACAGAGUAAGACCCUGUCUCUAAUAAAUAAAUAAAUAAAUAAAUAAAUAAAUAAAAGAGAGGAAGGGGGUUAUGGCAUACUGUAGGGUGUAGGGGGAGGUUGCAGGAUUAGGUGGGUCGCCAGGGUUGGCCUCUUUAAGAAGGUGAGAUUUCAGCUUCUCGAAGCUGAGGGAUUUAACCAUGUAAGUAUCUGGGAGUGGAGCAUUUCAGUUGGAGGGAAUAGCUAGAGCCUAAAAGAAACAAAAUCCAACACAAACAUCAGGAAGCGGUCACCCAAGAGAUAAGGAGUCUGAGAACGGGCCAAGGGAAGGGAAGAAGGAGGGUUUCAUGCCUAUGCUAAUUGCAUUGUGGCUGCUCUGAGGGUGAGGUCAUUUACCCAACCCCGGGACCACCCUCUGCCCAAACUCUUAGGCUAAUGGAAAUCAGACCAAUGUGGUGGUGGAAAGGCUCUUUCAUAACUAGUACACGGCCUUCAGUAAGCCACAUGCUCCUUGGGCCUCUGGCCUCAUCUAUAAAAGGAAACAACUGAAAACUGGGUGCUUGCAGGCCCCUGAGUGCGCCUUGUAAUAAUAGCACUGUUAUAAAUAAGAUGGAAACUGCAUCAUCUUGCCAGGGUGAAUAAGUUAAUUAUUCUUAUGAUUGAGACUUUUAAAAAUCAAAAGCAAAACCAUCUGAUUUGUGUGGUUUCCGAGGAAAAGAAAGGCAGGAAAGAAAGAUGAAGUGAGGCUGGGCGGGGUGCUGACACCUGUAAUCCCAGCACUUUGGGAGGCGGAGGGCGGCGGAUCACUUGAACUCAGGUGUUCAAGAUCAGCCUGGGCAGCAUAGUGGGACCCUGUCUCUAAAAUAAAUAAAUAAAUGAAUAAGCUGGGUGUGAUGAUGCGCGCCUGUAGUCCCAGUUACUUGGGAGGCUGAGGUGGAGGAUCACUUGGGCCUGGGAGAUUGAGGCUGCAGUGAGCUGUGAUCAUUCCACUGCAUUCCAGCCUAGGCAAUAGAGUGAGACCCUGUCUCAAAAAAAAAAAAAAAAAGAGGCACAAGUUUUCCUUUUGCCACCAUUUAACCAUCUUCACUUUGUGGGAACUAGAACUGUGCUGGGGUGGUCGGGGGGUGGG
ensembl:lncRNA